AAUGUGAGAGAGGGGAAUCUGUUGAAGAAUAAACUAGCGAUUAGUUCAUUAGAAAUUGCAAAAGAAAAAGGUAAAAAGUUCAACAAGUCCACAUGCCAAGUGAAACUUUUAGAAUCUCUAUUGACAACCAAUCACAUAUAGCAUGAUAUCAAAAGAAUGGAAUUAACAUUGACAGUAACAUGCAAACAAAUCUCAGAAUUUUAGCUUAUCAUAUAAACCAACAGGAUGCUUAAGCAAAGAAAAGGUAAUAAAAUUCUCAAUUAGUGGCUAUUAAAGAUCAUCAUCUCACCAAUCAAUUUAAUAUUAGCACACACUGAAAUCAAAUACAUAAUUAAACCAUCAGGGACCCAAAAUUCAUUAGAGAUUGGGAAAUUCUUAAGCCAUGCAUAACAGCUGAACAGGAUACACAUCCAAGAUGAAAUUCAUCAGAAGCUCCCACAGCAGAUAUGCGUGAAACUAGAAACCCAAAUAAUACAAGAACCGUAGAUACAAAAAAAUUAAAUGCCAGCAGGAUCAAAAGAAAAGAAAUCCAAAUCCAUUAUUACUGGAAGCACAAGCACAGAUUUGAUGAGAAAAAGUUCAACCUCACUGCUACAAGUUAGAAUAAGGAUAAUGCAGAUAGACGAUAAAAGCUUCAAAAUUUCACUGCAAUCAAAUAAAAAAUUUCAAAUUUCUUGUAGUAAUCCAUCGCAAUCUCACAGAAUUCUUAUCUCGUUGUUGGAGUCUUAAAAGGAAAUAUACAUG
rnacentral:misc_RNA from 1 species